rnacentral:rRNA from 1 species
CUACGGGAGGCAGCAGCUAAGAAUCUUGCGCAAUGGGCGAAAGCCUGACGCAGCAACGCCGCGUGGGGGACGAAGGCCUUCGGGUCGUAAACCCCUUUUGCGAGGGAAGAAGUUCUGACGGUACCUCGCGAAUAAGCCACGGCUAACUACGUGCCAGCAGCCGCGGUAAUACGUAGGUGGCGAACGUUAUCCGGAAUCACUGGGCGUAAAGGGUCCGCAGGUGGCAUGUCAAGUCGAUUGUGAAAGCUCCCGGCUCAACUGGGAGAGGACGGUCGAAACUGGCAAACUAGAGUCCGACAGAGGUCGGCGGAAUUCCCGGUGUAGUGGUGGAAUGCGUAGAUAUCGGGAGGAACGCCAAAAGCGAAAGCAGCCGGCUGGGUCGAGACUGACACUGAGGGACGAAAGCGUGGGUAGCGAACAGGAUUAGAAACCCGGGUAGUCC